rnacentral:lncRNA from 1 species
UUGGAACUCUUUCUCUUCAGGAAGGAAACAUGGAGCUAUAAAAUUCAGAGGAAGUUUGAAGCUGAGGCGUUCCCUGGGAGACAGCAGAGCUUCUGGCAGCCACAGAAGGGAGCCAAGGCUCACCUGCAUGCCUGUCGCCUGUCUUAGCCUGGCAUAUUCCCGCACUUGCUCUUGCUGUGUGCUCUGCUCACAAAGGGGUGCAAAGGGGUUCGAGGACUCAGAGGACUGGCCUGGCACAAAUCAGGAGCAAGAACCCUCCUCUUUCCCUCGAGAGGGCCGCUACUGCAGAAGUCAUCUGGUGUGUGUGCAGCUUCUUCUUGUGAGAGGAUUAGAGAAUUAGAAGAGGGCUUUGUGAGAAAAAUCCUGGGAGAGGUCGCUGGGAUGAAAGCAAACAGGGAAGGACGAUUUCAGCUCUGCUAGCCCCCCCACCCCCAGUCAAGUGGCCGAGUUGCUUGGCCUCCAGCAACUAGGGAUUUUCUUCCAUCAACAUUGGAGACACUGGUAAGGCAUUUUUUUUCUACUACACUAGGAAGCUAUUGCAUACGGUUGUCCUUUGAAGUGCAGUGCGGGAUGGGGGUUGGGGGGUGGGGUCCUAAGGAAGGAAGUUGGUUAGUGAUUCUGGGGACAUCCUGCAUUGUCUCUGCCUAGUGUAUGAGAAAGUCGCUGUUCACUGCACAAAGGGCUUGUGGCCAGAGAACAAUUUCACUUCUCCCAAACUUGAUUAGCAUCACUUUUGAGUAAUGGACUGAAACAAAAUGGGUGCACAUGAAAUCACUAAGGCCUAUACUGGAAUUCACUUAUCGGCAAGAUAAUCACAUCUUAAAACCUUUUUAUCUAAAUUUGAACAGUUUGGGAGUAUAACACUAUGGGAAUUGGUGGUGGUGAAGGAAUCAGACCUUUUGAGAAAAUUCUCAAUUAUUUAUGUUCCUAGGAAAAUGUAUUUUACCCUUGUGUGUUUUGUUGCAUUUGUAACUAGAGCUAUGUGGGCCAGAAUGGUGACUAGUAACCCAAGUACUGCCGAGAGUAAGUUCCAGACAGAAUAAGAACAGGAUACAACAUUCCCAGAAAAAAGUGGGGCAAAUGGAAUUUGGCCUUUCUGUGCAGAACAUCCUAUUUUAUAAUUAUUACACAUAGAUUUGUAUUCCCUGGAAAGAAGAAAUGAGCAACCUGCCAUUACAUUCAGAGGGGGAGGUAGCACACCCCCUCAACAUUUUCCAAGAUUCUGCUGCGCAUACAGCCUAAUUUGACAACUGAUGUUAUUCCUUGAUUACACUGUUAUUUUUUGGAGUUGAUUUUGUUGUUUGUAUAAAGAUGCAAAUAUACAUUAUUUAUACUACAUGUAAAUACAGUUUUAAUGUAUGGAUACACAUAUCUCCUUUUAGUUCCUCCUGAGAUACUUGAAUGUAAAGAGUUCAAAAAUACAGUUAUUUUAUUUGAGCCAAAGUGUUCCACAAGCAAUAUACUGAGGAGUAUAUUGAGAGUUUGAAGGUGUGUACAGAGAAGAAAGCAGCAGACAAUCAGUUAGCCUAGAAGCCUCUCCUAGUAGCUACAACCAAAUUCCUAAAAUCUCUGUUCACCCCUCCCCCCACCUUAAGGAAGGACAGCAUAAACAUUUUUGUUGUUGAUUCUUUGAAAAAAUUUAGCUGCUCCCUAAUAUAAGAGGCUUACUGAAUUUCUUCCUGCUUACUAAAACCUUUGCUUUAUGAAAUGUUCUGGUGUUCAAUAUUUCUUUAUAAACUUAGUGUGUGGGUGUGUGUGUGUCUGUGUGUCUGUGUGUGUGUUUGUAAUGCAGUUAAUUAUCAUUCUAGUUGAUUCUGCUUGCUUGGAAAUACUGAUCAAGUAUAACGAUCCCUCUACUAACUAUGUAGGUCCAUAACUUUGUCUUCAGUUAGAAACUAGGUCCAUAGGAUUUUUUUCCUAAUUAAAUUGCAGUAUUAAGAUGGCCUGAUUAUUUUCAAAAUUGACUAUACAUGUCACUUUUAAGUAACAUUCAGGGUUUUAAAAUAUAUAAAUCUAAAUAAAUUUCUCUACACCCAUAUUAAUGGGAACAUUUAAAAAUAUGGUCUCUCUAAAAUGAGCUAAUGAUUUGCCAAAAGUAAUUCAAUUUCCUUUCACUUACAGAGGUUUUCCCUCUUCUAACAACUGAAAACACUAGUUCAACCGAAUAGUUUUCUCUUCCACCUUUAGGAGUUGCUUAGAGAGUGCUGGCAGUUAAGUGGGGGAGGGGCUGGGGCGUGAGAUAACAGUAAAUCAAUUUAUCUGUGGACUGUGAGGAUGCCUCUGAGCUUUGCAGGUUUUGAUCAAUGUCAUUCACUAUUCUCUGCUUAUUCCACUUUGAAAGACUAUUUACUUUCAUCAUAUUUGAGACUGAGAGCAUGGAGUUUAUUAGAAUUGAUUUUCUUUCCAGGUUGAUAUUUUAAAAUACUUUGGCUGGUCAUUUUUCACUACCACCUUCUGAGAUUCUCAUUCAUCUGGCAUAUAUUAUUGAGUGUCUGUCGUCACCAAGGCAACCCGUAUUUGCUGUGAAACAUGAAGACAUUGUUUUGGUGGAGCUUGCUGCAGAGGUAGCCAAGGCCAGGGGCAGAAAGACCAUCUCUCGAUGUUCAAAUGAUUGUUUGCCCACUCACGUGUCUCAAUUGCAAAUGUGUUUUCAGUAAUAACAGAAAACACUAAUUCUUCUGAAUUACUUAUAUAUUAAACUAUAAUACUGGCUACUUUGAACCUAGAAGUGAAGCUAAUCAAUAAUCUUCUCACAUAGCCUGGGACACUCUGUGUGUUGUUCUCAUUGAUGGACAUUUAAAUAUUUUUUUUAAAAAAGAUUUCUUCUGAAUUAAUCUGACCAUUGCAUAAGUUGGGGAAGCAAAGACCAAAUAUUUUGUAAGAAUAAUCUUUACACCCUAUAAAUUAUUAUUCUUUCCCAUUUUCUUUGCAAUAUCAUGUUUUGUGUUAGAUGACUUCUUUAAAAUGUUAGAAAAUAUCUCAAGAAUAUGAGAUUUAUGAUUAUACUUACAAGAAAAUGGGAAUUGUGAUGGGUAAAUACAUAAACUUUCUUGGAUCUACCAUGUACCAGACAUUUCACCAAAUCCUUUACAAAUAUGUUACCACCUACUUGGCUCAACAACACUGAAAACUGGAUGCAAUGCCCAUUUUAAAGAUGAGGGAACUUAGUCCCUGAAAGCUUAGGAAUGGAGUAGACUGUGCCAUGUGAAUACUGAGGCAGCAGGUAAGGAUUCAUCACCUCUUCCAUCAAUGCCCUUUUGAGUCCAUUUCUCUGUUGCUCUUACCACUCAGCUUAGCUUAUUUGCUUGCUGCCUUGAAAUUCUCUGUAAGCAGAUAUAUUUAACUAUGGACAAGGGAGUCCCUAUACAUAACCUUGCAUAAGAAAGUGCUUUGUUGCUAAGUGUGAUGAUUCAUAGAGCAAACUCAGGAAACUGAGGAAGUAAAAUUGGCCCAAGUUUGAGGCUUACAGAAUGAGUUUGUCAAUUCACUCCGAGCAAAAGAGUAAGAAUCUGUCCUUAAAAAUAAUG